rnacentral:rRNA from 1 species
ACGGGAGGCAGCAGUGGGGGCUAUUGCACAAUGGAGGAAACUCUGAUGCAGCAACGCCGCGUGAGGGACGAAGGUCUUCGGAUUGUAAACCUCUGUUUUUGGUGAAGAAACAAAUGACGGUAGCCAAAGAGGAAGACACGGCUAACUACGUGCAAGCAGCCGCGGUAAUACGUAGGUGGCAAGAGUUGUCCGGAUUUACUGGGUGUAAAGGGUGCGCAGGCGGGACCGCAAGUUGGAUGUGAAAUACCGGAGCUUAACUCCGGAGCUGCAUCCAAAACUGUGGUUCUUGAGUGGAGUAGAGGUAAGCGGAAUUCCGAGUGUAGCGGUGAAAUGCGUAGAUAUUCGGAGGAACACCAGUGGCGAAGGCGGCUUACUGGGCUCUAACUGACGCUGAGGCACGAAAGUGUGGGUAGCAAACAGGAUUAGAUACCCUGGUA